rnacentral:lncRNA from 1 species
UUUGCUUCUGUCAGUUUACAUCUACCAAUUGUCUAGGUGACCUGCUUGAGAAUAUGUUACUGAGGGCAGGAGCAGUUUGAUAACAGGUUGGCAGUCCACACUCCACCGUAGGUUACCCUCUCGAACUUCUGGUCAUGAACCGAGAAGUUUUUAGUAUAGGGACAGCAGUUGGUGGUUAUUAGGUUUUAGCAAUCAUGCCUGGCUAAUGUUACAGGUGCUAAUCUUAAAAUAGGAUGAGGAAACAUCCGUGUUAGUGUGAUCUUGUAUCUUAUAAUAAUGUGUUUUAGAAUAUAUAUAUAUAUAUAUAUAUAAGAUGUCU